UACGUAGGGGGCAAGCGUUAUCCGGAAUCAUUGGGCGUAAAGGGUGCGUAGGCGGCCCUAUGGGUCAGAGGUUAAAUAUUACGGCUCAACCGUAGUCCGCCUUUGAAACUAUAGGGCUUGAGUGCAGGAGAGGAGAGUGGGAUUCCUAGUGUAGCGGUGAAAUGCGUAGAUAUUAGGAGGAACACCAGUGGCGAAGGCGACUCUCUGGACUGCAACUGACGCUCAGGCACGAAAGCGUGGGUAGCGAACAGG
rnacentral:rRNA from 1 species